CUGCCAGCAGCCGCGGUAAUACGGAGGGGGCGAGCGUUGUUCGGAAUUACUGGGCGUAAAGCGCACGUAGGCGGCGCGUCGAGUUAGGGGUGAAAGGCCUGGGCUCAACCUGGGAACUGCCUCUAAUACUGACGUGCUGGAGUCCGGAAGGGGGUGGCGGAAUUCCCAGUGUAGAGGUGAAAUUCGUAGAUAUUGGGAAGAACACCGGUGGCGAAGGCGGCCACCUGGUCCGGAACUGACGCUGGGGUGCGAAAGCGUGGGGAGCAAACAGGAUUAGAAACCCGAGUAGUCC
rnacentral:rRNA from 1 species